AUGUUUCGCUUCAAGAAGACAAGACAACGUCCCCAGAGAACGUCCACGCAAGGUACCGAGAUGGAAUCGGUAAGGACAGCAGAGGCUCCAAAGAAGAAAAAACGUUUUCGGCGUUUUUUCAAACGAAAAAGAGCUCCUGGGCCUUCAGAUGUCAAGGACACCACAAGUAAAGACGUGGAUGAUCCCUGCAGCUCUGAAAUCCAAACAUUUGACAAUGGUAAUGAAGCUUUGUCAAUGGAACGUUUGGAUUCAGAGUCUGAGAAGCAGAGCAUGGCGGAGACCGCAAAUCUCCAGCUGGAUACCUCAAGUGAGGACGAGUAUGAACUUUGCUGGUCCAGAAGCCAAAGACCUGACACUAAAAGUCAGGCUUCGGCAUGGAACAGUGAGGAUUCAGAUUCCGAGGAGAGCAGGGUGAAAGAGUACGAAACUCUCCAGCUGGAUGCCUUCAGUGAGGACGAAAAUAAACCUUGCUGCUCCAAAAGCCUAAUGCCUGACAAUAAAACUCAGGCUUCGGCAUUGGACUAUGAGGAUUUAGAGACUGAGGAGAAGUGGUGGAACGUGUACAGAAAUCUCCAGCUGGAUUCCUCCAGUGAGGACGAAUCUUGCUGCUCCAGAAGCCUAAGUCCUGACGUUGAAACUCAGGCUCCGGCAUGGUGCAGUGAGGAUUCAGAUUCCGAGGAGAGGAGGGUGAACGGUAAAGGGAAGAUGUGGGUCAACCCGAGAUAUCGUCAUGUGAAAAAACGCAGAUCGGCCUCGGAUGAGCAGGAUUGCAGUGGGACUAAACCCAAAAAAGGAUUCUUCAGGGCUCUGAGACGGAUGUUCAAAAAGAAGAAACAUCCUAAAAUUAACAAUCCAGAAGUCCAGACUCCAGAGUCAAUUCCGAAGAACGAGGAAACUUUGGAGCAAAGUAUUGAUUAUGAUGAAUACUUUGCCCAACGUAACCAAUGUUCUAAAGAAAUACAGACAGAGGAAAUGUCGGAGGAAUUCUUAUUGGAGCAAAGGCUUGAACUGGCUAAGAUAGAACUCCAGUUAAGCCAGAAACUAUUCCAACUGGCCAAGGUCAGAGAUGAAAUCAGGUUCCUGCAAAGAGACCACGAGAUGAGGAAGACUGUGUUCAACCUUGAGUCUGCCUUGAUGGAGAGAGAAAGAAAACGCUUUGAAGUCGAGAGGCAGGAAUUUUCCAAUUUAAGGAAAGCCUCUGAAAGCAGCUUGGCAGAACUACCACUUGAAGAAGAUCCCCCAGAGGAGAGUGAAGACGUGACGGAGGAAUCUUUGGAAAGUAGCAGUUUGAGAGUCAGGAGUUGCUUGAUUUCUUAG
rnacentral:lncRNA from 1 species